rnacentral:misc_RNA from 1 species
GAUGAAGAACGUAGCGAAAUGCGAUAAGUAAUGUGAAUUGCAGAAUUCAGUGAAUCAUCGAAUCUUUGAACGCACCUUGCGCCCCUUGGUAUUCCGAGGAGCAUGCCUGUUUGAGUGUCAUUAAUAUAUCAACCUCUUCAGCUUAUGCUUGUUGAGUGUUGGAUGGUGGGGGUUUGCUGGUGUCUUAUGAAGUCAGCUCCUCUGAAAUGCAUUAGCGGAACAAUUUGUUGACCGUUCAUUGGUGUGAUAAAAAUAUCUACGCUAUUGACGUCAGUCAGUUCAGCUUCUAACAGUCCAUUGACUUGGACAAAUUUUUCAUUAAUGUGACCUCAAAUCUGGUAGGACUACCCGCUGAACUUAAGCAUAUCAAUAAGCGGAGGA